AUUCUUGCACGAGAGCACAAGUGUCGCAGUGAGGUUCUUACCGAGCGCACUUUAUUGCUGGUUGAAAACUAAUUCCAUAACCCGUCACACGCUCUGGAAACGGAGCGGGUGGCAAUUUUUGGAACCCUUCAUCGUCG
rnacentral:snRNA from 1 species